CCCUUAGAUGUUCUGGGCCGCACGCGCGCUACACUGAUGCAUUCAACGAGCCUAUCCUUGACCGACAGGUCCGGGUAAUCUUUGAAUCUGCAUCGUGACGGGGAUAGAUUAUUGCAAUUAUUAAUCUUCAACGAGGAAUUCCUAGUAAGUGCAAGUCAACAGCUUGCGUUGAUUACGUCCCUGCCCUUUGUACACACCGCCCGUCGCUACUACUGAUUGGAUGUUUAAGCGAGGUUCUCGAACUGCUAGUGACUGAUCUUCGGUGAGGUCGCAGUGUGGGAAGUGAUCCUAGCUUUGGUGUCUAGAGGAAGUAAAAGUCGUAACA
rnacentral:rRNA from 1 species